ACUAUUUUGGCAGAUUAGUGCAGAAAAUUUAGAAUUUUCAYAUGUAAUUUAUAUUACARAUAGUA
rnacentral:tRNA from 1 species